CUUUCAGAAGGCGGGGUGGGGGAGGGGGGUGCCUAAAUUUUGUCGUGCCUAUUGCAGCACAAAACCAGGAUAUAUCACUGUCUAUAUGUCUGUUAGUGUGUGUGUGUGUGUCUGUUAGGAAGUGUGUUACUAUGUUUGUGUCUGUUAGCAUGUGUGUGUCUGUUAGUGAAUGUGUUAGUAUGUGUGUUAGUGAGUGUGUUAGUGUGUGUGUCUGUUAGUGUGUAUGCAUGUCUGUUAGUGAGUGUGUCUGUUAGAGACUGUAUGUGUCUGUUAGUGAGUGUGUGUGCCUGCUAGUGAGAGUGUGUGUGUCUGUUUGUGAGUGUGUAUG